CGACACACAACCUGCAAAGCAAGAGUGAUCGGUCCUAAGGCUAAGACGUCUUAAGUCAUCUUUCCUUGCCCAGCCCCACGCUGUUAACAGCCUUGUCUCCUCCUCCAGGACCUCAGACAGGUUAAGAAUAAGUUAAGAAGUUGUCAUUCCUACCAAGAAAAGAGGGGCAUUGAGUGAGUCUGCUGUUAUCUGCUCUUCAUGGGACCCUGCUAGCAGAUUUCAUCCAUGCACAACGUUUUGUUCUAAGACAACGGAAGAGGACUUUUAGCAGGAGACAGCACAACAGGGCUUAAGCAUAGAAAGCAAACACAAUGACUAACGUGUGUCAGUGUCCAAGACUUAAGCUGGCUGCAAGAAAAUUCAGAAAAGUUUAAAGACUACGAGCUCCUAGAGAACAGGGCCGGUGGCUUCUCCCCCAUGUCCUUAGUGCAGCACAAAGAACAGAUGCCAAAUGCCUGGGAAUUAGUAGACAAUUAUUUGUUGAACAAAGAAAUGAACGAAUCUUCCGAGAAGAUCCUCCAGUAAUUCAAUCCGCUAGGAUGGAAACGGAGAUACGCGUGCUGAGAUUAAGUUCAGUCGAGUAAAUCGCAUAAUGGCAGGUAAGGAGAGAAAUACCCUUUCAUAGUUCUAUACAUUGGAGGAGGUUUGAUCAUGAAAAUUACAGGGUGUUGGUUCCCAGCGCUGACCUACUGGCAUUAACAUAAACAGUCAGUGCUCUACUUACAAGCUCUAUUCCUUAUUCUUUUAAUAGUCUUCAACAAACACUUGUUGACUUGAGUGGUUGUAAUGGCUACCACUAGGAAAACAGAAAAUUUGGGGGUGAGACUGGAGAAAAAAAAUAGUACUUGUGUAUUCCAUGACGUUUAAUGUAUGUUUCUCUAUUGUUUAAUGCAUUAAAAUUUUCUUGAAAAUACAUUAUUAAAUAGAAUGUUAAAUCAGUCUACAAAGUUACCUUUCCCUCUUUCAGGCCUAUUUUAGGACAUAGCUUACAAAAACUACUUGGCUAUAAUACAAAAUUCUGGUAAGAAUACUCAAAACAGAAUUAUCCAACCCUUGGAAAAAGUGAGAUAACUCAUAGUUGGAGGAAUUCAAGAUUUAGAGGGGAAGGACCGCUAAUACGUUUAGCUAAGAGCACAGGAAAAUAAUCAGUGCAUCUUAAAGAGAACUGAUCUGACAUUUAAGUAUAAUUAUCACCAAAGCUCUGAUAUCUUUAUUAUGUUUUCCUCACAAAACCUUACCAAAGACACGGGCGUAUCACUUUUCACAGCAGCGUAUUACCUAUUACCCCCCCGUAAUCGCCUGGACUGCCCGGAAACAGCAGAGUCACCUGCUAACCCUGAGCGAUUCUGCAACCGCUUGCUUCAGUCUUCAGACCACAGCCAGGCCACCAGCGCAGCCACGCGGCCCUCCAGUGCGCAAAGGGGCACUCCCAAUCACCUUUGCACCCCGUGCCCUCACGGCAGGAAAAGCUGCUGAUGUAAUUAUUUCUGUAAUUGUUCAGAAGUGUAUAUUGUUUAAACCGCCCCACCUUUUAGGGAGUUGCAGAAGAAGACCUUUCAUCUUUCAUAAAGCCUUCCCUCUCUGUAUUUACAUACACUGUGAUUUUCCUCCGAACAGGUUCACUGAUUUUCAUUACGAAUUCCUAAGAAGCAAAUAAAUGCAAGUGUUCAUCCAAAAGUGCCUUGAUUUAGCACCUACCUGGUGGCAGACAAUAAGCCAGACGUCAGGGAUCUACAGAGCCGGCAUCACAGUCCCCACCCUGGGGAAUUCCCAGGCCAGAGUGGGAAGUGAUUCUCCCUCGGGCUGCGAAUCAGUAAUAGGUACAAGUGUGCACGGGUGUGACAGGUUAAGGCUUCCGAGAGGGCCUUCCAGGAGGGAAUUUUUGUGAAGAAUCGAAGAUAACGAGGCAGAGAAAACAGGAGGGCAUCCAGGGAGAGAGAAUAGCACACGGCUUACCAGGACACGAACCACGAGUGACUGGCGUGGCCGGGGAUGGCGGAGAGGCAGGCAGGGACCAGAUGGCCACACCCCAGACUUCUGGGCCUAUCAGCUCACUUCUCUUCAGCCUUAGGGGCAGAAGACUUUGAAGAGCAUGACGGUGACCACGUCACUGCCUACUUCCUGAGGACUCAGCCACGCGUGCUCCUUUCGUUCAUCUGCAUGUAUCCAUGCCCCACCGCAUAUGAUGCACGCGGCGUUUUGUUGGAAAGGACAUGGCUCUGAAGUUAAAAGGAUCUGCCGAAAUAAUUGUUUCAACUAGAGUUUAAAAACCAUCAAACAGGGGCGCCUGGGUGUCUCAGUCGGUUGAGCGUCUGACUGACAUUCUCGGCUCAGGUCACAAUCUCGAGGUUCGUGAGUUCGAGCCCC